AUACGUAGGGGGCAAGCGUUAUCCGGAUUUACUGGGUGUAAAGGGAGCGUAGACGGCGAAGCAAGUCUGAAGUGAAAGGACGGGGCCCAACCCCGGAACUGCUUUGGAAACUGUUUGGCUGGAGUGCGGGAGGGGCAAGCGGAAUUCCUAGUGUAGCGGUGAAAUGCGUAGAUAUUAGGAGGAACACCGGUGGCGAAGGCGGCUUACUGGACCGUAACUGACGUUGAGGCUCGAAGGCGUGGGGAGCAAACAGGAUUAGAUACCCUGGUAGUCCACGCGGUAAACGAUGAUCACUAGGUGUCCGUGGGUAUGACCCAUGGGUGCCGCAGCCAACGCAAUAAGUGAUCCACCUGGGGAGUACGUUCGCAAGAAUGAAACUCAAAUGAAUUGACGGGG
rnacentral:rRNA from 1 species